AACAGUACAAAAAAAAAUUAUGAUAAAAAUUAUGUAAAUUAAUUAAUUAGUUAUAAUAUUUUAUCAAAUGUAGUUAUAAUUAGGGGUGAAAGUGGUUAGAAUAAACUAUGAUCGAAUUUGGCAUCAGAUUCAAUAGAAUGCGUGUGUAUAUAUAUAUAUACUUGUCAAAAUUAACAUUCAACACAUAUUCGUACCCGAAUAUUCGUAUUGAAAACAAAUAAAAAGAGAAUAUGGAUGCGAAUACUGUUUUUUACAAAAUCCAAUCGUAUUCGACCGUUUUAAACCUAAGAAAUAAGAAGGAUAUUGUAGGAAGAUGAAGUGACUUUCUAUUGUGUUUUUUUAUUUAUUUAGUUAACGAUAAAUUUUAUAUUUAUUAAAAUAUUGAAUUUUAUUGAAUGAAAUAUAGCUAUAGGAAGUUUGAAUACGAAUGUGAACCUUUAAUUGCAUUCUGUGUUGUAUUUACGACUAUUUUUAGUUCAUAUUUAUAUAUACAUAUUAGUGUAUAUUAUUAUUUAAAUAAUAUUCAAAUACAAAUUCGACUCAUAUUUGAAUCCGACAUAGAUUGGUAUCUGAAUUCUCAUUCGAAAAAAAUAUGAAUGCAAAUAUAAUUUUGUCAAAAAUUCGAGCAUAUUUGACCGUUUCCUCCCCUAGUUAUAGGUAUAUAUAAUUUUAGAAAUAUAUAUAAAAAUAAAUAACUAAAUUAUAUAAGAAUCUAUAUGAGUAAGUGACUAAGACACUAACCGUCCCUAGAGCAAGUGGCAAAGGGCUUGGUGGUUGGUAUCCGAUGUCCAAAGUUCGAAUCCUAGUUGAUUCACAUUUCCAGCUAAGUUUAUUUCUAAAUGAAAUAAACGAAGUGGGUAGCAAGCAACUAUCUCUCAAAAAAAAAAAAAGAAGAGUAAAUGGCUAAGACUACUAUACUCUUAUGAGUAUAAACUUCUUUGUACUUAUAAGUUUUCGAGUGUUAGAUGAAGGAAUGUGCGAUUAGGAUAAUAGCGGUCCCGGCCCUAUAAGGUUGAAUGGGUGGUUAGUUGAAUAAUAUAAUUUAACGGAUAAAAAUGAUCAAAAAAGUAAAUCUAAUGGCGGAAAACUUAUCAAUAUAAAGAGAUCUACAUUUAUAAGAGUAUAGUACCCAGAGUCUAAGUAUAUCAUAUUUGGAUGAUCUAAUGAUAUGUAGAGUAAGAG
rnacentral:lncRNA from 1 species